ACAGGGGACCUUGAACGAGGAGCCGCGGGGGUACUGCUUUGAGGCGGGGUUUGGAGGAGCGGCGGGUGGGCGGGCUUCUAGCAGACGGCAGGUGGCGUGAUUCUCCUGUGGGAGCCGGUGGAGAUUGGCCAGGGGGAACUGGCUCUCUCGCCAUCCUUCUAGAGCGGCUCCAUGUCCAUGUGGAAGCGGUACCGCCACACCCUUUCCUGCUGUGGGGAGGCCAGUGGGGAGCCAGAAGGCACUUGUGUGGGAAAGGAUGCCAGGAAUGGAGACUGGCCACCACAGAGGCGAGCUUUGCAGAAAACACCUCCAUCUGGUCCUCUACUCUGCACGGGGUACAGUGGUGGAUAGGAAAUUAUGAAGAGAUGGUUUCUGGAUCUCAGCACGAAGAGAUGGUGCCUGGCCAUAAGGAACCUUCAUGUGCACUGACUGGACAAUAAAUACACAAGCAGGAUGUCGCUAACAAUCACACUUCGACUACCUGCAGCCACACCAAGCUGUUCAGGGCUGGGAACUCAACAGCAGACUCCCGUUCAGGGAAAGACGUUACGAGGGGCUGAGCGAUCUUCGGCAACACCCUUUGAACCCUUCUUGACACUGCAACACACUGGUCAGCAGGAGAGAGGGAAGACGGCCUCGACCACCGUGCAUUUGGACUGAGGCAUCGCAUCAUCGGGGCGGUCGAGGGGUGCAGCCUUCACACCUCCCCUUGGUCUACCUGGAGCAGAAAAAUAUACUAGGACAUCUUUUCAGGCCAGCAGAUAAGUAUAUUUAAUUUGCAUGGAUGUUAUGGGCUCUGCGGUAUUAAACUAGUGGUUGGGACUUGCCCCCGUCAUUCUGUCUUUUGUCAGCAGCGAAAAUGACCUGGGUGCCUGCACCAGGCUUGGGACUGGACAUUGGUCCUUGGGCGGCUGGGGAAGGUUAAAGUCUAGCAAGGCACAGAGCUGUUGCAGAAUAAGGACAUGCCUUCCCAACAGAACCCUGAUGAUCUUGACCCCUUUGGCCCCUGACACAGCAGAAUACCAGCGGAUGAGGCGGGGACGAACAGAGGGCAAGGCCACAUGGAGAGAGAGAAAGGUCACCAAGGGGUCUCCAUUACAAGCGGUCUUGAGCCCAGUAUGAUUUUCUCCUACAAUUGAAUCUACUCCCUGGAUGGCCUCCAGUGUUCAAGCUGAUGACAAUCGCCUGUCUUUGCAAUUGAUUUCCUGGAAGCGGCUGGCCAGCCAGCAGCCACAUGAUGGAUAUGUGCUGGGGGACUGGUGCGGCCGAGCGGGGCAUAGGAGCUGCUGCCCCGGAGGAUGAGACUCUCUGUCCUGCUCACCACCGUGUCCUGAUGCGCUGUGCCUGAACAAACGAUUGAUAAGUAUUUGUGGACAGAAUGAUGGAAGGAGGGAUCUGAAAACCUAGGAGCCCUCCCUGAGGGCUCCCAUGUGUGAAAGGGCCUCCCAUUAUAUGCUUUGAUGGCACUUGGCUCUUCUCAUGACUCUCAUCGCAUUUUGCAAUUACUAUGAAUCUGUGGAAAUACUAUGUUGAUGCCAGUCUCUCUCUGAAGCCUGCGUCUGUUUUCUCAUUGCCUCCCUUGUGCCUGGUACAGGGUCUCGUACAGAGCUGGUGCUCUGCGAAGAGCAGCUGUAGGAGUGAAUGAAUGAAUGAAGACAAGGCAAAGGCCCUCGGAGGCUUUCCACGGUCACUACGGGCUCAGAGAGAACAUUGCAGCUUUUUCCUGAAUGGUCGCCACGUGGAGCCGGAGUCAUUAGCAUCACGUCUCCCGCUUGCCAUGACCUGCUGACCACCCUAAGUAGAUAAAAAUGAAAAUGGCCAAGACAGCUGCAAGGCUCAGAAACAAACUGCCUGGUGGCUCUGCAGAGUCUUUUAUGUGGAAGCUUUCCGGAACAGCCCCGCCUUCCCCAUCCUCUCAAACCCCUGUAAAGCCGUCCUGAAAGUUUCUGCUUCUCUAACUGCUGGUCCCCGGUGAGGGCAGAACCCCUUUCUCGGGAACAGAGCCCAAGUGUGAGCGGCCCCCACCACAGGUGUGCGCUCCAGUGCUCUUCCCCCAGUCUGGGAGUUGGAGCAUCGAUCCGCAGUUUCUGGAGGACAAAAUCUGAGACAACCGACGGCCACCUGACAGCCUCCCAAGGAUGGGAGUGAUGCUGCCCCUCUCCUUCUCCGGGCCUCAGUUUCCCCAGCCAGGCCGUGGGGGUGGGGCAAGGAGCCGGAGACUGGCUCCCGGGCUCCCUGGGAAGAACUGUGCUCAGCAAGCGGGAGCCCAUGCCAGCUCCACACCCCAUCACUGCACCUCUGCCGCCGCCCCCUCCACCGUCAGCCAGCCCCACGGCAGCCGCUUGCCAGAAAGCAGGCCCGUGCACUCAGCCCAGGCUGGAAGGGAAUGAGCAAUGGCCCUAAUUGCAGAGCCGGCAGGAGAGGCCGGGAGGAGGCAGCGGAGAGAGAGAAAUCAUCUUGCGCUGCGCCAGUUACUGAUCAGCUGGGACAUAAUUGUGGGGCUGCCAUCCCGGCUGCUGGAGGUACCAGGCCUCCCUCUCGUUAAUCAACGAUAAUCCAGAAUUACGACCCUUAAUGACUUGCAAAGACACUUAUGCACACACGCACACAUGCUCUCACACGGACACAAGUAAUUGAUAAUCAACCAUGUAAUUUGAGGCAAUAAUUCUGUCCGGGCCAGAUGACAGGCUCCACCCUGCCAGCAGAACAGAACCCAAAUCACAGCCCCACCGCUGCGAUGGGGGGCAGCCUCCCUGGGGAAGGGAGGCUCCUUCCUGUCUCUAGAGUGGGUGCCGAGGGGGCCUCCAGUUGUCUCUAGGCCGUAGGAGUACAGGGAGGUUUUGUUUGUUUGUUUGCUUCCCACUUUUACUUGUCUGUAUUUUCUAACUUUUGCACAUCAUUAGUUGUAACAUUUGCAAACCUCAUUGCUGCCGUCAUCCCUCACUCGUGGCCCUAAACCAACGGUCUCAAACUUCAGUCCACGUUCACGUCACCUAGAGAGAUGGUUAAAAAUGUGGACU